rnacentral:rRNA from 1 species
GGGGAAGCCGGUUCGGUACGGAGGAUGAUGAUGAAGGGGGUGGUAUAGGCGGAGGGGGGAGGUGGAGGCGCAGGGGAGACCGUAGGGGGAGGAGGGCAGGUGUUUGGGAUUGGGAUUAGAGCGGCCGAGGAGGCGGCAGCGCCGGGCGGGGGUGGCGGCAGGAGCGGCGAGGGGCGCAAGCGGAGCCAAGGGCGAGGUGGGGGCCUCGCAGGGAGGUGCGCGCGCGCGCCCACCCGUGAUCGAUCCCAAAGCUAUACCUGGGCGCGGCGGGAAGGGGCGCGCCGCGGCGGUUGCCGUCGCCCCUGCGCCGCACUAGUGACUAGCCCCGACCCCUACCGACACCUCGUGAAACAGUGACCUGAGCCCCUAAAGAGAGCCCCACACCACCCGGACAAAGAACAAACAGGCAAAACGUCCACGUUAAGCCGUCACCAAACCCACCCUCGACGGCCAAAGCCGAGUCCCAAUUCUCCGAGCGAUCAACCUUGGAUUACGUCGGUAACGAUUUGAAAUUCCAGGGAAAUGGCCUUCUAGAACUAGCUAUACCCUUAUCAUCGGGUUUACCCUCGCACUCAUCAGUUCCAGUUCCCAGGAACAGCCUAGUCAUGUUACCACACUCACUACGAAGAGUACCCGACGUAGCUUUCGCUUUUUCCGUAGAACCACAACGCUCGCUACUACUCCUUCGUCUACUGGUGUCAUUGGUUUAUUGGCUCCUCGUGAUGGCAUGUUACGACUCACUUGUACAAGUUUUCAUGUCUUCCAGUUUCCUAUUCCUCCCACAAAAACCAAGACUAGGAGGAGCCCGUCUGUGGGGGGUUUACUAUUUUGUGUUUUUACCGUUAUGUUCUCAAUACUUUAUGUCUUCACUAAAGUUCCUACAACGUCGUAAUCCACACAAUCUUUGGAGUGGACUCAUAUUACCCUACCCUAGAUAAUCACGUAUACCACCAAAGUUAUUCUAACAUCGAAGUGAACUAAGAAGGAUAAACCUAUACCCCCUAUUACACUCGAUGAAUUAAGGUCUCCCAAUACUAUUCAACCGUAGAAGGGAAUUAGACGGACAAAAAAGACUAUAUGCACAGCUCCUCGUAAAGAACUUACCGUGCGAUCUAGACGCGUGGGACAGUCGUUACGAACCGUGACUGGAAUUCAAACUCCGAUGAUCAGCACCACCUAAUCGGCUUGGAGUCGGAGUUGUACUUAGUGAGUUCCUUUCCCAUUUCUAGGUCUUUAAACGUGAAGUUCAUUGACUCCUGGGGAAACGUUAAGGUCUCCCUAGUCGACCCUCUUAUGCUUCUAGAUAAUAAAGUCUUAGACCAUCAAACGUCCAAGUAAUACAAUUUCAGAACCUUUUUCCUCUAUGUAUACUCUAAUAGCUCGCCUCGAACGGUUUCUUCGUUUAUCACUUUUUCCUUGUAAGACUUUUACACUUUCUUCUAAACCGUUCAAAAAACUUUGCGACCGUAUAAUAACGAUCUUUGUAAGGUUUCGUAGUGUCUUUAAAGUGACGAAACGACUUCUUUGCCGUUUACCUACGAUUUGCGAAAAGACUCUUAACAGUUGCCCUCCACUUCGAGUUCCAGUCGUCCAGUGACUUUGACUACUCUUCACGAGGUCAUGCGUGUUCCUUCGAACGAUCCCUAUACAACUAUAAAACCUUUGCCCAUCUGUUCCUUGUCAUACUCAACUCCUUUUCUCUCCUUUCUCUACGUCGACUUCGAAACUUCGCUCUUCUCCUUGAUGCGCUUCGUUUUUCUGUCGUCGUCUCCGAGUUGAAAGACGAUAGGGUUUGACUCGAGAUAUCAGUGAAAUACGUCUUAUUCCGACCGCUUAGUCGUGACGGACUACUCCCUAGACGAGGACUCCAACUACUGCUCCUUCUAGGGCUCCUUCGACUUAAUUUUUCUCUCCGAAAAUCUCGACGAGUCGUACGGCAAAGGGUUGUUUUUUCCUACUGUUUACGUAAACUAUCACUUUAACACUCCGAAACAGUUAGAAGCCUCAGACCGUAAGGUUGCCUGCUAAGUCGAUGAUACCUCGGAUCGUUCUAACUAGAGAAUGUGGGGAGUUGUUACGGACUCGUCAGUAGACACGUCUGGGGACUCAACAAAUUUCCACAUAAUUUUCUUAUAGUCAAUUUCCCGAACGUCACCGACCAGUUAACGAUACUUGUCCCCAAUUUACCGUAAGAACGACUGCUCUACCCAGAACCGUUUUGACACGUCCGAUACCGUAAGAAUAGGGUGAACCGACUCCUAUUUUUGUAUACCCCAGGGAAGGACCACCAACGAGGACGUAGACAACACUUAUUAACCCGACUUCUCCAUUAGUCUAAGACGGGACUAGAAUUCUAUGAGGGUAUAACCCCGGGUCUUUCCCACCAAGAAGCGUUCUUGUAGUUAGGGUUCGCAGAAAUAGCCUCUCUACGAUCGAAGGUGUAAGAGUAGUGUUUAAUAGUCUAUGAACACUUACUUCUCUUCGAAAACUCUGCACAAUUCACCGUCAUGUACCAUAACCUACUCCGGGUCCGAUAUUUUUCAAGUUCGUCGGUCGCGACCUUCUGAAACGACUCGAAAUUGACAUCUUUAGCGAACGAAGAAUGACCCUGUGGUUAAGUCUUGUUGUACCGACUCGAUACCCGUGAAGAAGUAAAGUAGUACGGGUGAAACAAACUGUCGGUGCUUGUCAAAUUACUCACCAAGAGUUUUCCCUAACUCCCGGUACGACUUGUACCUCCCUGGAACUUGCUUGUAGUUGAAUCAGCUGACGUACGAUAUAACUUCGGCAAAUACGAGGCGGCACAAUUCUAACUACAGUAUCGUCUUUACUGCCUUUUCUUUCUUCUUUAACACGGGACGUCUAACUCAAGAGCGGUCGUUUAGAAGAUAGUUCGGUAUUUCUUAUUCUAGAGAGAAUUACUCAACGAACUACCUUCAGCACCGUUAGAUUUACUAUUCUUCGACGAAUCGGACUACUUAUAACAGUACGUCGAUGCAUUCCAGACGUUAGUAGGUCUCGACAAGCUCGCGUUACUCCCUUCGAUAAUGAAAAUAAAACGCCUUUAGGGUUUAAGAGAAGAAGGAGGGGGUAAACCCCUCAACGUUCUAUAUGUAAUACGUCCGUUCUCCUUAGGAUAUCACAAACUCUAAGGCUUCAAUCAAAUACUUCCCUAGUAGACAUUGUGUCUUUAUGGGCAGCUACCAACACCUAAGGCCUUACCUAUAUAGUUGUCCGACAAGUUAUAAAAAAACGGUUCGUUAUAGGUAUUAAGCCGUCAAGGUCUUAGUUGAAGUGCUUGGUGUAGAUAAGACGGUAGACCACGUAAACCGAAAUGUGCAAAUUGCUUAGACAGGGGUCAACUUCGAAGGAAGGACCAGUGAAGAAGUAAUAAACUCUCUGAUCACAAAAGUCGCUGUGCAACGUUCUACCUCAUACAACUACUUUAGCACCUAGAUAAGGAACUAAGUCUUCCAAGACUAGAGGUCGAGUCAGUCAUACUACGGUGUUUUCAGGCCCGACAAUGAUCUAAUAACGAAAGUGGAUUUUCCCGUCUGAGGUCAAACGAGUCUUGUUUUAAACUUUAUCCGGACUCGCUAUUGGGCACACUUCGUGAUCACGAAAGAGUGGUACUAUCCGAACAGAGCUUGUAUGCCGAAGAAGCAAGUUGUAUACCAAAAUAGGGUGGUCGAUCUCGUGGCGGCUAUUUACAGACAACAAGUCUAGCCUUAAAACGGAUGUUCAAUUGUCUACUCUACGUACUAGGGACCUAGUUCUUCGACAAAGACCCUAAACGAGCGUAAAGGCUCAAAUUACCAGGAUCUUAUGACUUACCAGUAUUAUGAAAGUAUGUCCUUCAUACAUGACUAAACGGGUAGGGACUCGGCUACGAUGUCAAUGGCAUGUCCUAUAAGCCCAGUAGAGGCGGAUACUCAUUAAAACUAGGUCGAUUUUACGAGUGCCUAAGACCCUUCGAGGUGUGCAAUCUAUUUGAUGACGCCGUUGAGGCUCGACUUUUAGUGGCACACGAGGAUAAACGAGUCUACUGAUUUUACAACCUGUAGGAACUCCUGAUGUACUUAAAGUCCUUUAAGUUCAUAAAGUCUGACCUGCCCAGAAGACGUUAAAGACUAGCAGCACUGUACCAGGCCUUAAAGGUCUUGUCCUUACUAUAUAAACAGAAGAACGAUUCAUGUUCUCGACCCCCUGAUCCUUAAUUAAACUGACGACGACUGUGCCAAUAUAAAAUGCUUUAACUGACCUUAGGCUGUGUUCUGGUCGUCCGUUACCUAUCUUGUGUGUCUGAACCAGUCUGCUUCCUCCAUUGGCACAUAUCUGAAUAUACGUUUCUGUGAUAACUCCUCUUUUAGAACGUUUCCCGUUUCGUCUUCUUACGUCACGUUCUCAACCAAUACUUUCCCUUUGUUCAAGUCCUACUAGUAGACUACUCUGUUCUCCUACAACAAAGUAAUGAAGAACUACUAUGUGUCUAACGUGUGUUUAACUUUCUUUAUAGUUACGUCCGUUUCCUAGCUAAUUUCUUCUCCGCUCGUUUCCGGUAGUUCCAACUGUUUCUUCCUCUAAACUUCGAACUUCUGAACCUACUAGGUUGACUUCUUGGACAUCUUGUUCUAUUAUGUUGGUCGUUUUUCUUUUUUUCGAGCGUGUUCUUUGGAGGUUUCAGUGUCCUAUUACUACCACGCCUACCGCUACAAGGACUCUCACCAGGACAGUUUUUACUCCUCGUAUAACGAAGGGACUCCGGAUUUUCUAGUUUCUCUGAUCACUCCUCGUGCCCACUCCUAUUCCUUGGGCAACGACGAACACUACAACUCUUUGGACGUCUACGUCGACUUUUGUUACUGUUGUUACUACGUCUUCUCAACGUUCUGGUCUGAGGAAGACGGAUCAACUGGAUGACCCGACUGGACUACUCUUGUAUUCUACGCUUACCGUUCUGAGAUUAAACACCACAGCUCAUCCUCGUAGUUUCUACCGUGGGUCUCCUCCUCGAGACCUAGACGAAUUCCACAAUGCGCCAAAUAAUUCAUAAAAUUGAGACGACACGUCGAAGAAAAGUCUUCGGACCCUGACGUUGAACCCACGUCAACGUUACUCGACUCGGGUUACUACCGACAAUGCGGUCGGAAAUAGGGACGACAACCACUAUGAGCGAGAUCGGUAAAACAUUUAUUCAUAAUCGUUACAAGGCAGUGUAUAUCCUUAUUAAAACGACACAUUUCUCUCAUCACUACAUCUCAAAACAAUCCGAUUUUUACUUGUACCGUCCUUUAUAGACGACACGAAGGCUCAACCUUUGUAUAUAGUGAUUUAAAUACUGAAAUAAAUCAGCCAGGUUAUCUACUAUACACACAGAUAAUGAGGGUGGCAAAGUUAUUCCCAAACGGUUUAGUGAAGAAAGUAACACAUGAAUUAAAUAUGCUCACUUUUUAUUACGAGGUAGGCUAAGUAUAACAG